rnacentral:rRNA from 1 species
AGCGAACGCUGGCGGCAGGCCUAACACAUGCAAGUCGAACGAAGCCUUCGGGCUUAGUGGCGGACGGGUGAGCAACACGUGGGAACGUACCUUUUGGUUCGGAAUAACGCAGAGAAAUUUGCGCUAAUACCGGAUGAGCCCUUCGGGGGAAAGAUUUAUCGCCGAAAGAUCGGCCCGCGUUGGAUUAGGUAGUUGGUGUGGUAAAGGCGCACCAAGCCUACGAUCCAUAGCUGGUCUGAGAGGAUGAUCAGCCACACUGGGACUGAGACACGGCCCUGACUCCUACGGGAGGCAGCAGUGGGGAAUCUUGCGCAAUGGGCGAAAGCAUGACGCAGCCAUGCCGCGUGAAUGAUGAAGGUCUUAGGAUUGUAAAAUUCUUUUACCAGGGACGAUAAUGACGGUACCUGGAGAAAAAGCCCCGGCUAACUUCGUGCCAGCCGCCGCGGUAAUAC